rnacentral:misc_RNA from 1 species
UCCAGCUUGUCGCCGGCAGUCCCGGGUGAAAAAUACAACACCCAGCAAGGGUUGCGCUCGUUGCGGGACUUAACCCAACAUCUCACGACACGAGCUGACGACGGCCAUGCAACACCUGUCUCCAGGUUCCCUUCCGGGCACCCCCCGAUCUCUCGGGGGUUCCUGGGAUGUCAAGAGUGGGUAAGGUUCUUCGCGUAGCGUCGAAUUAAACCACAUGCUCCACUGCUUGUGCCUUCCCCCGUCAAUUCCUUUGAGUUUUAGCCUUGCGGCCGUACUCCCCAGGCGGCCGACUUAACGCGUUAGCUUCGAUUCCGGGAGGGUCGAUACUCCCAAAACCUAGUCGGCAUCGUUUACGGCGUGGACUAC